GGCCAAUGUAGAGACACAAUGCAUGGCAGAUCCACAGCUAGGUCCGUGACUACAGAUGGAAACCAAAGAUAAAGGGAAAUACAGGGCCUUGUGCCUGCAUAUAAAGGAUGUAAAGCUGCUUCCAAGGACAAUGAUUCUGUGGUUAAGCAGGCAGAAAUGGAGCAAGAAGGGGCUGUGAGAAGGCUUGCAGCCUAUCUGUAGGAGGUUCACUAGCUGUGGGAGAUCUGGCAUGGUCAGACAGUCCUGACUUAGCAUAAAGUUAGCUGGCACAAUGUUAGCUCAUCAACAUUUUUUUGAGUACUAUAAACUUACUUCACUGGCUCAAGUGUAAGUUUAUCAGCACUCUGCAUCGUGUAGUGGGAGUGUUCUUAUUCCAGCGGAGUCUGGAUUUAAUCUACAGCCAAACCAUAGACAUAGCCAGAGAGAGCUGUAACUGAACAAGAAAAUGAAUAAGUGCACUAGAGGCCCAUGCAACUAAACAGUGGACCUACUUUGAUGACCUCUGAAUCAUCUCGAAGAUAUUCUGGAGAACAAAAGUGCAUGAAGCAAUGCCCAGCUCAUCGGUUUAUAGAUCCGCUCUCUUUUAGCUGAAUCCCUGUUCUAAGAAGGUGCAACUUCCAGGCCUUGGAUAUCUGUUACUCAUCACUCAGAGAGA
rnacentral:lncRNA from 1 species